AACGAACGCUGGCGGCAUGCCUAACACAUGCAAGUCGAACAAGACCUUCGGGUCUAGUGGCGCACGGGUGCGUAACGCGUGGGAACCUGCCCUUAGGUUCGGAAUAACUCCCCGAAAGGGGUGCUAAUACCGGAUAAUGUCUUCGGACCAAAGAUUUAUCGCCUUUGGAUGGGCCCGCGUUGGAUUAGCUAGUUGGUAGGGUAAAAGCCUACCAAGGCGACGAUCCAUAGCUGGUCUGAGAGGAUGAUCAGCCACACUGGGACUGAGACACGGCCCAGACUCCUACGGGAGGCAGCAGUGGGGAAUAUUGGACAAUGGGCGAAAGCCUGAUCCGGCAAUGCCGCGUGAGUGAUGAAGGCCUUAGGGUUGUAAAGCUCUUUUACCCGGGAUGAUAAUGACAGUACCGGGAGAAUAAGCUCCGGCUAACUCCGUG
rnacentral:rRNA from 1 species